rnacentral:rRNA from 1 species
GAUGAACGCUGGCGGCGUGCCUAAUACAUGCAAGUCGAACGAAACUUCUUUAUCACCGAGUGCUUGCACUCACCGAUAAAGAGUUGAGUGGCGAACGGGUGAGUAACACGUGGGCAACCUGCCCAAAAGAGGGGGAUAACACUUGGAAACAGGUGCUAAUACCGCAUAACCAUAGUUACCGCAUGGUAACUAUGUAAAAGGUGGCUAUACUACCGCUUUUGGAUGGGCCCGCGGCGCAUUAGCUAGUUGGUAGGGUAAAGGCUUACCAAGGCAAUGAUGCGUAGCCGAAUUGAGAGGUUGAUCGGCCACAUUGGGACUGAGACACGGCCCAAACUCCUACGGGAGGCAGCAGUAGGGAAUCUUCCACAAUGGGCGAAAGCCUGAUGGAGCAACGCCGCGUGGGUGAAGAAGGUCUUCGGAUCGUAAAACCCUGUUGUUAGAGGAGAAAGUGCGUGAGAGUAACUGUUCACGUUUCGACGGUAUCUAACCAGAAAGCCACUGCUAACUACGUG